CUCUUUCUGUAGCGAUCAGAAGACCAGCCAAUAACCGAACGAAACUCUGAACCGGAACUGUAACAUCGGAAAGCAGUCGUACAUCCCUUCCUAGGGGAAAACGGUAAAGCCGUCCUUUAAACCUUUUCAAUCACUCCGACAUGGGAAUUCAGGCUAAAAGAGAGGAGAAAUAUGGUAAAAUCUCGAUUGACAACUGGUGGUAAC